rnacentral:lncRNA from 1 species
CCCACUGUUUCGAGGAGUUUCUGAUGCAGCCCAAAUAUGGCUCGCAUAAAGGUCUCCGUACAGGUAACUGAACAUGACAUAUAUGCAAAGGUAAAUUAGCUUCACAAGUAUAAGCCAUGUUUGUUCAAAGAAACAGAGAUGGUUUCUUGUGUUUUCACCUUCCAUAGGUACAUGGAUCUGUCUUGGACCGAUAAAAGAAUCCACCUGAUAUUGCUGCAGAUCCAAGUUUGUUAAUAUUGGAGUGACUGUAUCCCAGCACGGGGAAGAUGGGAUCAAUGGAAUCUGCAGAAGUAUUGCCACCCGGAGUCUUCUGAGGCACGAAACCUUGGGGGCCUUCAUAGACGCGCCAUCCGUAGUUUCCUCCCUUGGAGAUGAUAUCAACUUCUUCAUAUUGAUCCUACAGGGGUAUCAAAAGGUAAGAAUAUAGAAAUCACUCUACAGUGGCAUAGAUAUUCAAAAAAGUUUUGUUUAUGGCAGUAACUUUGAACCUGUCCAACAUCAGCACACAUGAAGUAUGAAGGUCUCUCUGAAUCAAAGCUACACCGCCAUGGAUUUCUGAAGCCGUAAGCCCAGAUUUCCGGUUGCAUUCCUUUGUCUUCUAAAUAAGGAUUAUCUUUGGGGAUAGAAUAGUUUCCCCACAAGUCUAGUUUAGCCAUCUCAUCUUCGCCUGAGAAUUCAACACAUGAUUCUGUGAAAUUUGAGAUCAUAUGGAAAAACACAGGCUUUUAUAGGUUGUAUAUCUUGAUUACUUACUUGGAAACUUGUUGACGUCGAUCCUCAUAAUCUUCCCAAGCAGCGAUUUCUUGUUCUGAGCAAAGUUAUAGGGAUCUCCUUUACUUCCUCCAUCUCCCAACAUGAUAUACAUGUGGCCAUCAUCUGGGCCAAAGAGAAUUUGGCCACCAUGAUUUGAUGUAAAGGGUAGCCCCAAUGUGAAAAUCCUUUGUACCUCUCGUGGUCUUGCCUUGUCUGCCUAGAGAUGGAUCAUAUGUCAGCUCAACUCAGAUGCAUUAUUCAUUUUCUUGUUCUAUCUUUUUAUGUAAUGUGAUAUAGUGUUUACCAUUGAUGGGCUUGAAGCAGUUCCAUUGGCAGUGUACUCGGCAACAACGAUAUGAUAUUUGCAGACCUCUCCUGAAUCCAAGGAGCCUAACUGAGAAGGGUCACACGCGACAUCUGAAUUGCAGGCGCACCUCCCACUACAUCCCGGAGACUUCUCUUUGUCGCAGUUGAAGGAUGCGAAGAACCUCCCAUUCGUAGCAAAGUUUGGAUGAAACGCCAUUCCCAUCAUUCCAAAGCUCGUAUCCAGGUAUACUUGAUCUGUCAAGUCAACAAAGGGGCUCGAUUCAUCGACUGCCAAUACUUCACCCGAAUCCUGUUCUGGUAUGGUGGCUAACCAGAUUUUGCCCGCCAGGUUGGAGAAGAAAGCGCGGUUGGAUCCAUCAGGAUGAGCAACCAUGUUGAUGUAAGAGCCAUUGCCGAUUUUCUCAAGGCACAUGCCCUUGGUGGAGGCAGCGCGUCUGUCUUGUUAAAUGAGACGGGUUCUCCAUUGAAGCAAGG